GCCCACACUUACCUAAAAGAUAGUAUUUCAAAAUGCACUAUAGUAAAGAUAAAAAAGAAAAAGACGAAGAUAGAAAGCGGAACCUAGGCAUUAAAAACACCACCAAUCAUAAGAACAAAAAGUAUGUUCGGAAUUUAAAACAAUCCGUUUAUAAUAAUAAAUAUAUUAAUACUUUUUACAAAAGAAAUAAUGGACUAAAAACAAAACGAAAUAGCAACGGAAUGUUAUAUAAUAAUAAUGUAAAUACCAAUGAUAUAGAUAUUGACAUCGAUAGUAAUAAUACUAUGCUUAAUAGCACUAAUCCUACUAAUACUAUGAAUAUAAAAAAUAAUCAACUAUAUUAUAAUAAAAAUUUAAUAAAUAGAAAUAAUAAAGAAAUAAAUAGGUUAAAUACUUACAAAAAAAAUUACUUUGAUCAUGAUAAUAUAAAUUAUAAUACAUUAAUUAAUUCACAAACACCUAUAUGUUCUAUACACAUUGAAAAAACAAUAGAAGAAAUAAAAAAACAGGAAGAAUUUAAUGAAUAUAUUUACUAUUGUAACAAUGUAACAGACAUAACAAAUUACAAAUAUCCACAAUUUAUAGAAGAAAUAAAGUUCACUGAAAAUACAGUGUUAUUAACAGGGAUACUUAUAUUAUCGAAUAAUGAUAGAAUUUUUAAUAAUUUAGAAUUUGAAGGAAAAACAACUCCUUCUCCUAAUGAUUGUAAUCUAAGUGUAUUUAUCAAUAUAGUCAAUCAAUAUAAUUCGCAAUAUUAUAAACAACUAUAUCCUGUUUCUUAUAAUUUUAAAGGCAGAUUGUUAUUUGUUACGUUAAAUAAUACAGUCGUAGAUUCAUCAUUAUUAAUAGAUAAAAUUAUAAUCAAAGGUAACUUUAAAUCACUUUCUUUGAUUGUGUUAGGUCAGGUCGAAGAAAUAAGCGAAGAGUUAAAAUAUUACAGAGAUGACAUAAACGACGACAAUCUGAGAAGCAGUAUGAACGAAGACACACUCGACGUUGAAAAUGUAGAACUAGAAAAAGAAGAACAAUAUGCACCUAAAAAAGCAGUAUACAUUAAAUCAUAUGCUAUUAAUACUUUAAUAGAAGAAAGUAUAACUACACAAAAUGAGAAAUAUAAACAAAACUAUAGUUUGCAAAACCAAAAGAUACAUAACUCAAAUAUACAUAAUAAUAUACUGUACAAACUAUCCAUGCGAUUAGAAA
rnacentral:lncRNA from 1 species